GCGGGGGUGGCCGAGCCAGGUCAAAGGCGGCGGGCUCAAGACCCGCUCCCCGGAGGGGGUUCGUGGGUUCAAAUCCCACCCCCCGCACCA
rnacentral:tRNA from 1 species